rnacentral:rRNA from 1 species
UAGGGAAUCUUCCGCAAUGGGCGAAAGCCUGACGGAGCAACGCCGCGUGAGUGAUGAAGGUCUUCGGAUCGUAAAACUCUGUUAUUAGGGAAGAACAAAUGUGUAAGUAACUAUGCACGUCUUGACGGUACCUAAUCAGAAAGCCACGGCUAACUACGUGCCAGCAGCCGCGGUAAUACGUAGGUGGCAAGCGUUAUCCGGAAUUAUUGGGCGUAAAGCGCGCGUAGGCGGUUUUUUAAGUCUGAUGUGAAAGCCCACGGCUCAACCGUGGAGGGUCAUUGGAAACUGGAAAACUUGAGUGCAGAAGAGGAAAGUGGAAUUCCAGGUGUAGCGGUGAAAUGCGCAGGGAUAUGGAGGAACACCAGUGGCGAAGGCGACUUUCUGGUCUGUAACUGACGCUGAUGUGCGAAAGCGUGGAGAUCAAACAGG